rnacentral:rRNA from 1 species
AUACGGAGGGUGCGAGCGUUACCCGGAUUCACUGGGCGUAAAGGGCGUGUAGGCGGUGGCCCACGUCGGGUGUCAAAGCCCGCGGCGCAACCGCGGUCCCGCACCCGAUACGGGGCCACUAGACGGCGGGAGAGGGGAGCGGAAUUCCCGGAGUAGCGGUGAAAUGCGUAGAUACCGGGAGGAACGCCCAUGGUGAAGGCAGCUCCCUGGACCGCCCGUGACGCUGAGGCGCGAAAGCGUGGGGAGCAAACAGGAUUAGAUACCCUAGUAGUCC